AUUCCUACGGGAGGCAGCAGUGGGGAAUCUUGCGCAAUGGGCGAAAGCCUGACGCAGCAACGCCGCGUGUGUGAUGAAGGUCUUCGGAUCGUAAAGCACUGUCGCGAGGGACGAAUAAGGGCCGGGCGAACAUCCCGGUCCGAUGACGGUACCUCGAAAGGAAGCACCGGCUAACUCUGUGCCAGCAGCCGCGGUAAUACAGAGGGUGCUAGCGUUGUUCGGAAUUAUUGGGCGUAAGCGCGUGUAGGCGGCUCUGCAAGUUGGGUGUGAAAGCCCUUGGCUUAACCGAGGAAGUGCGCCCAAAACUAUGGAGCUUGAGUACCGGAGAGGGUGGCGGAAUUCCCGGUGUAGAGGUGAAAUUCGUAGAUAUCGGGAGGAACACCAGUGGCGAAGGCGGCCACCUGGACGGUCACUGACGCUGAGACGCGAAAGCGUGGGGAGCAAACAGGAUUAGAUACCCUGGUCGUCCACGCUGUAAACGAUGAGCGCUAGGUGUUGUGGGUGUUGACCCCCGCAGUGCCGAAGCUAACGCAUUAAGCGCUCCGCCUGGGAAGUACGGCCGCAAGGCUAAAACUCAAAGGAAUUGACGGGGGCCCGCACAAGCGGCGGAGCAUGCGGAUUAAUUCGAUGCAACGCGAAGAACCUUACCAAGGCUUGACAUGUGCCGGAAAAGUGCAGAGAUUGCUCCCGCAAGGUCGGUACACAGGUGGUGCAUGGUGGUCGUCAGCUCGUGUCGUGAGAUGUGGGGUUAAGUCCCGCAAGGAGUGCAACCCUCUUCUAUGUUGCCAGCACGUGAUGGUGGGGACUCAUAGGAGACUGCCGGGGUCAACUCGGAGGAAGGUGGGGAUGACGUCAAAUCAUCAUGCCCCUUAUGUCUUGGGCUUCACGCAUGCUACAAUGGCCAGUACAAAGGGCUGCGAUACCGCAAGGUGGAGCGAAUCCCAAAAAGCCGGUCUCAGUUCGGAUUGGGGUCUGCAACUCGACCCCAUGAAGUCGGAGUCGCUAGUAAUCGCAGAUCAGCAACGCUGCGGUGAAUACGUUCCCGGGCCUUGUACACACCGCC
rnacentral:rRNA from 1 species